ACACGUGGGUGACCUGCCUUCGAGUGGGGGAUAACGUCCCGAAAGGGACGCUAAUACCGCAUGACAUCCUGCCUUUGAAGAGGUGGAGAUCAAAGCUGGGGAUCGCAAGACCCAGCGCUUGAAGAGGGGCCCGCGCCUGAUUAGCUAGUUGGUGGGGUAACGGCUCACCAAGGCGACGAUCAGUAGCCGGCCUGAGAGGGCGGACGGCCACACUGGGACUGAGACACGGCCCAGACUCCUACGGGAGGCAGCAGUGGGGAAUUGUUCGCAAUGGGCGCAAGCCUGACGACGCAACGCCGCGUGGAGGAUGAAGACCUUCGGGUCGUAAACUCCUUUCGAUCGAGACGAACGGCCUUCGGGUGAACAAUCCGGAGGAGUGACGGUACCGAGAGAAGAAGCCCCGGCUAACUCCGUGCCAGC
rnacentral:rRNA from 1 species